AGUCGAGCGGACAGAUGGGAGCUUGCUCCCUGAUGUUAGCGGCGGACGGGUGAGUAACACGUGGGUAACCUGCCUGUAAGACUGGGAUAACUCCGGGAAACCGGGGCUAAUACCGGAUGGUUGUUUGAACCGCAUGGUUCAGACAUAAAAGGUGGCUUCGGCUACCACUUACAGAUGGACCCGCGGCGCAUUAGCUAGUUGGUGAGGUAACGGCUCACCAAGGCGACGAUGCGUAGCCGACCUGAGAGGGUGAUCGGCCACACUGGGACUGAGACACGGCCCAGACUCCUACGGGAGGCAGCAGUAGGGAAUCUUCCGCAAUGGACGAAAGUCUGACGGAGCAACGCCGCGUGAGUGAUGAAGGUUUUCGGAUCGUAAAGCUCUGUUGUUAGGGAAGAACAAGUGCCGUUCAAAUAGGGCGGCACCUUGACGGUACCUAACCAGAAAGCCACGGCUAACUACGUGCCAGCAGCCGCGGUAAUACGUAGGUGGCAAGCGUUGUCCGGAAUUAUUGGGCGUAAAGGGCUCGCAGGCGGUUUCUUAAGUCUGAUGUGAAAGCCCCCGGCUCAACCGGGGAGGGUCAUUGGAAACUGGGGAACUUGAGUGCAGAAGAGGAGAGUGGAAUUCCACGUGUAGCGGUGAAAUGCGUAGAGAUGUGGAGGAACACCAGUGGCGAAGGCGACUCUCUGGUCUGUAACUGACGCUGAGGAGCGAAAGCGUGGGGAGCGAACAGGAUUAGAUACCCUGGUAGUCCACGCCGUAAACGAUGAGUGCUAAGUGUUAGGGGGUUUCCGCCCCUUAGUGCUGCAGCUAACGCAUUAAGCACUCCGCCUGGGGAGUACGGUCGC
rnacentral:rRNA from 2 species